GACGAACGCUGGCGGCGUGCCUAAUACAUGCAAGUCGAGCGAAUGGAUGGGAGCUUGCUCCCUGAAGUUAGCGGCGGACGGGUGAGUAACACGUGGGCAACCUGCCUGUAAGACUGGGAUAACUUCGGGAAACCGGAGCUAAUACCGGAUACAUUCUUUCUUCGACUGAAGACAGAUGGAAAGAUGGUUUCGGCUAUCACUUACAGAUGGGCCGGCGGCGCAUUGCUAGUUGGUGAGGUAACGGCUCACCAAGGCAACGAUGCGUAGCCGACCGGAGAGGGUGAUCGGCCACACUGGGACUGAGACACGGCCCAGACUCCUAGGGGGGGCAGCAGUAGGGAAUCUUCCGCAAUGGACGAAAGUCUGACGGAGCAACGCCGCGUGAGCGAAGAAGGCCUUCGGGUCGUAAAGCUCUGUUGUUAGGGAAGAACAAGUACCAGAGUAACUGCUGGUACCUUGACGGUACCUAACCAGAAAGCCACGGCUAACUACGUGCCAGCAGCCGCAGUAAAAC
rnacentral:rRNA from 1 species